UGGGUAGUCCGCACGAGCGCACCUCAUCUUCAGUUGCUAACGGUUCGGCCGAGCACUUUGGAGAAACUGCCUGGGAUGACUAGGAGGAAGGCGAGGAUGACGUCAAGUCCUCAUGGCCCUUAUGGGCUGGGCUACACACGUGCUACAAUGGCGGUGACAACGGGAUGCAACAGGGUGACCUUGAGCAAAUCCCCAAAAACCGUCUCAGUUCGGAUUGUACUCUGCAACUCGAGUGCAUGAAGUUGGAAUCGCUAGUAAUCGCGGAUCAGCAUGCCGCGGUGAAUACGUUCCCGGGCCUUGUACACACCGCCCGUCACACCAUGGGAGUUGGUUUUACCCGAAGGCGGUUCGCUAACCUUUUGGAGGCAGCCGACCACGGUAGGGUCAGCGACUAGGGUGAAGUCGUAACAAGGUAGCUGUAGGGGAACCUGCGGCUGGAUCACCUCCUUUCU
rnacentral:rRNA from 1 species